GCUCAGGACGAACGCUGGCGGCGUGCUUAAUACAUGCAAGUCGAGCGGACCGACGGGAGCUUGCUCCCUUAGGUCAGCGGCGGACGGGUGAGUAACACGUGGGUAACCUGCCUGUAAGACUGGGAUAACUCCGGGAAACCGGGGCUAAUACCGGAUGCUUGAUUGAACCGCAUGGUUCAAUCAUAAAAGGUGGCUUUUAGCUACCACUUACAGAUGGACCCGCGGCGCAUUAGCUAGUUGGUGAGGUAACGGCUCACCAAGGCGACGAUGCGUAGCCGACCUGAGAGGGUGAUCGGCCACACUGGGACUGAAACACGGCCCAAACUCCUACGGGAGGCAGCAGUAGGGAAUCUUCCGCAAUGGACGAAAGUCUGACGGAACAACGCCGCGUGAGUGAUGAAGGUUUUCGGAUCGUAAAACUCUGUUGUUAGGGAAGAACAAGUACCGUUCGAAUAGGGCGGUACCUUGACGGUACCUAACCAGAAAGCCACGGCUAACUACGUGCCAGCAGCCGCGGUAAUACGUAGGUGGCAAGCGUUGUCCGGAAUUAUUGGGCGUAAAGCGCGCGCAGGCGGUUUCUUAAGUCUGAUGUGAAAGCCCCCGGCUCAACCGGGGAGGGUCAUUGGAAACUGGGGAACUUGAGUGCAGAAGAGGAGAGUGGAAUUCCACGUGUAGCGGUGAAAUGCGUAGAGAUGUGGAGGAACACCAGUGGCGAAGGCGACUCUCUGGUCUGUAACUGACGCUGAGGCGCGAAAGCGUGGGGAGCGAACAGGAUU
rnacentral:rRNA from 1 species